rnacentral:siRNA from 1 species
CGGUCGACAACUUAGCGAUGCC